AAGAUGGCAAGUCAAGAGUCAUGCUUGUUACCCUAAUCUUCCACCCCCUUCUCCCAUAUUUGCCCUCAAUGAUGUCUGUGGCCUAAACGAAUCUUGCAUAAAAAAAUCUCCAGCCCAACAGUCGGUGUAAAUUGAAGAGUCAAUUGAUGACAAUGUAAAUUGAAGACGCGAUGAUUGAAACGGUGGAAGCAAUUACCAAAUAAUCAAUUAGGUUUCAUGAUUAAAAUCAACUGAAUUGAAUUAAAGACGUCAAUUGAAUCUGCCUAGACGUUUCAGACCCACAAUUAUUUAAGAUGGAAUCCAUGAUUGAAUCGGGUGGUCAUUUGCGAGUUCAGUUGCCUAUAAUCAGGUUUGAAUAUCGACUUUUGUACUAAAGGGAAGUCUGGAAAGACCCUGAUGGUGCAGUGAUUGAUCUUGGAGAGCGUGACGAUGAGAUGAUGAUAAGGACGGUAUGAACUUUGUGUGAUUUAGAUAUUUUAUUUUGGAUGCCGGUGAUACUAUUGUUUGAAUAGAAAGAAUGUUAGGGUUUCGUUUUCUUUUUGUGUUUUCCCCCAAUUUCAGAUAUUAUGAAAUUAUUACCAUUUAUUUGCAGAGCUAAUGAAAGUUUGAUAUUAUUAAGUUCAUGUAUAUUAAUUCAUUUUGCACGUUGAGAGCCUUAAAAAGGUGACGAGGCGGCAAAAACAUUUGUCUGGGAGCAUCAGGUCAGGAAACAAAUGCCUGUGACACUAUGGUGCAUGCAGGGUCUGGUUCGGAGAGAGUGAGAGUUAUAAAGAGAGAGAGAGAGAGAAGGAGAGAGAUGCAGACAAUCAAGAGAAAAGGGAGGAAUUCGGAAGAGUGACGGUGAUGCCGACGACAUGAAGGCGUAGGAUCCGGUGAGGCGUUUAGAAUUCCAGCUAGCAUUUCGACCAUACCCCGAACCUCGAUCAAGAUCCGACAGAGAACCGACAAGGUUUCGACGAGUCUCCGGUUAAGGUUCUGUUACAGAUUUCGUAAAGCUAUCUCUCUGACUAAGAAUCUGGCGUUUAAAGUUAAGAGAUAUUGAAGAGAAAGUGAUGCUUUAAAGUAAAGAAAGGGUAUAAUAGCUUCUUGCUGAAUUCAUAAGUAGAUAUCAUGGACUGUGGUGUCAGCAGUGGAGGGGGAUAGAGUUCACUUGAGUACCUCUUUGGAAAUGAUGAGCCAAAGACCAGUCAAGAAAGAGGUGGUUCCUAAAGUCGUUGUACCCCAGCCAGAUAAUACAAAACAGAUCCCAGAUAAUACAAAACAGAUUCCUACUAGGAUCCAUAUUGCUAAGAGUACAUUGCAAGCUUUGAUAGCUUUGUUAAUAUUUUUUUACUCUGUCUCUUUUAUCAAUAUAAAAAAAAUUAAGAAAAAGUUGACGAGCCGGCUUGAUUAGGCUCGAAGUUUUUAUGAGCCUAGCUUGAGCUCAACUUUUCAGCUAAAAAAAUAAACGAGCCGAGCUCGAGCUCACUUUUUAGCUCGAAAAAAUAAACGUGCCGAGUUGAGCUGGCUUGUUUAACUUUAAGUUCGAACUCAAGCGUAAGUCGUAAGUGAAUACAUGUCAUUAAUUGUUUGUUUAGGAAUUGUCGGUCAUGUUUAGUAACCGGUCUAUCAAACAUAUUCCGGUUCUUUUAUACUAAUCUAAUUUUGUAAUUUAUAUUAUAUAGCAAAGAGUGGGGCACGGUUGAGUCUUCAGGAUCAUCCCUUUAUGAACAGAAGAUGGAUUAUUAUUAUUAUUAUUAUAUAUUAGCAUAGUUUUUGUAAUUAAUGCAGGAAUAUCAUUUAUUUAUGGUAUUCAAAAAGAUUAAUAAAAGAUGUGCUCUUAAAUUUGUUCUACCCACCAUAAGCCAAGAUUCGGAGUAGCAUUAGCCACUGGGGUGGAUGUGGAUGUAUCCAUAGAACAACAAGCUGACCAAUUGGAUUCUACUGAUUCGGGUCAAACAUCAAAACCAACAUCAACCAUCGAUAAAUCUAAACAAAGAGCACGGCCCAUUAGAAAGAGUGAAAUGCCACUCAUGAAAGACGAAGCAUGUUGGUUGAUCAUUGCUGUAAAGUUUUGAGCAACCGCGAGUCUUGAAAGAUUAGCAUAUUAUAGGAUGAGUUCCAAUCUGUUGUUGUAUUUUACGGGUGAACUCGACCAGCACAGCGCUACGGCCUCAAGAAAUUUAUCAAAUUGGACUCGUGCAUGCUACAUCACCCCAUUGUUUGUUUGGAGCAUUUCUUGCGGAUGGCUAUAUUGGAAAAUAUUGGACUAUAGCUAGCUCUUCAAUUUUGUAUGCCAUUAUUACGUGGGUUGGAUUUGGGGCUUUGGUAUACCUACUUUAGCCAUGGCAGUGGGUGUAGUUUCAUUCUUCUCUGGUACCUGGUUUUAUAGGAACCAUAAGCCUGCGGGCAGCCCGUUGAUGACCCGUUUGUUUCAAGUGGUGGUUGCUUCAGUAAGAAAGAGAAGAGUCAAUGUGCCAACAGAUGCAUUACUUUUGUAUGAGAUUGCUGAUGCUAAUUCAACUACCGUAAGAAGCCGCAAACUUAACCAUACCAGUAAUUUCAGGUCAUUCUCAGCUUCUAAUAAAGGUGGGAAGUACCGUAAGAAGCCGCAAACUUAACCAUACCAGUAAUUUCAGGUCAUUCUCAGCUUCUAAUAAAGGUGGGAAGUACCGUAAGAAGCCGCAAACUUAACCAUACCAGUAAUUUCGGGUCAAAACAGUUAAACGACUUGCGUUCUUUAACGAUAUCGAUUGUCGGUACUGCAUACGUAACGAAACGAACCAGACCGAUGCCAAGCGAACGUCUACCGGUUCAGUAUUCUUUUUUCUUAUUUUCGAUUUAUAUGCGUUUUUAUUGUUAUCGAUCAAUUGUUAUUUUUCUUGUCUCUUUCGAUUGUUAUAGCAAGUGCCAUCAUUAUAUAUUUAUGAUAUACCUUCUAAUUUUUAAUAUAACGAU